GACGAACGCUGGCGGCGUGCUUAACACAUGCAAGUCGAACGGAACGUCCCUGCUUUUGUGGGCUGCUGGAGUGGCGACCGGGUGAGUAACACGUGAGUAACCUGCCCUUGACUUUGGGAUAUCUUCAGGAAACUGGGGCUAUUACCUGAUAGGAUCUCCUGCUUCAUGGUGGGGGUUGGUUAGUUUCGGCGGUUGGGGAUGGACUCGCGGCUUAUCAGCUUGUUGGUUGGGUAGUGGCUUACCAAGGCUUUGACGGGUAGCCGGCCUGGGAGGGUGACCGGACAAAAUAGGACUGAGAUACGGCCCAGACGAGAACGGGAGGGAGGGGAGGAGAAUAUAACACAAUAGGCGGAAGGCAGAUGUAGAAAAGCAGCGGGGGGGAAGACGGGCUGGGGGUUGGAAACCAAAUUCGCCUGAGACGAAACGAGAGUGACGGUAAUGGGUAAAGAAGCACCGGCUAACUACGUG
rnacentral:rRNA from 1 species